ACAUUUACCUACCAGAGGAGUUGCCAUGAUAACAAAUAUGGUUUCCCCAAGGUGAGGACUAUCUACUGCACUCUGGAUGCGUAUACUCCUGAGAUUUCUCCAAAUAUGGGAAACUCAAUUGUAUAAUUUGUGGUAGAGGGAGACAGUAUCCACUUA
rfam:Erinaceus europaeus unplaced genomic scaffold scaffold00035, whole genome shotgun sequence